GUGAGGAAUUUUCCGCAAUGGGCGAAAGCCUGACGGAGCAAUGCCGCGUGAAGGAUGAAGGCCUAUGGGUUGUAAACUUCUUUUCUCAGAAAAGAAUUAUGACGGUAUCUGAGGAAUAAGCAUCGGCUAACUCUGUGCCAGCAGCCGCGGUAAGACAGAGGAUGCAAGCGUUAUCCGGAAUGAUUGGGCGUAAAGCGUCUGUAGGUUGUUUAAAAAGUAUUCUGUAAAAGAUUAGGGCUUAACCCUAGAUAGGCAGAAUAAACUUUUAAGCUAGAGUUUGGUAGAGGCAGAGGGAAUUCCCGGUGGAGCGGUGAAAUGCGUAGAUAUCGGGAGGAACACCAAAGGCGAAGGCACUCUGCUGGGCCAAUACUAACACUGAGAGACGAAAGCGAGGGGAGCAAAUGGGAUUAGAAACCCUGGUAGUCC
rnacentral:rRNA from 1 species